GCAGCCAGCCCCUUCAUAUGCAAGCUGUUGUGCAUUUUCAUGAGUGUACAGUAUUAUCUAAUGAUAUUAUAGCCAAAAUGAAUGUUCAUUGCAUUUAAGAAUGAAAUCAGCUUGAACCAAAGUUCUGUUAUGUGGCUGAAGAGGCC